rnacentral:rRNA from 1 species
GCCAUCGCUCAACGGAUAAAAGCUACCCCGGGGAUAACAGGCUUAUCUCCCCCAAGAGUCCACAUCGACGGGGAGGUUUGGCACCUCGAUGUCGGCUCAUCACAUCCUGGGGCUGUAGUCGGUCCCAAGGGUUGGGCUGUUCGCCCAUUAAAGCGGUACGCGAGCUGGGUUCAGAACGUCGUGAGACAGUUCGGUCCCUAUCCGUCGCGGGCGCAGGAAAUUUGAGAGGAGCUGUCCUUAGUACGAGAGGACCGGGAUGGACGCACCGCUGGUGUACCAGUUGUUCUGCCAAGGGCAUCGCUGGGUAGCUAUGUGCGGACGGGAUAAGUGCUGAAAGCAUCUAAGCAUGAAGCCCCCCUCAAGAUGAGAUUUCCCAUUCCUAUAAGGAAGUAAGAUCCCUGAAAGAUGAUCAGGUUGAUAGGUCUGAGGUGGAAGUGUGGCGACACAUGGAGCUGACAGAUACUAAUCGAUCGAGGACUUAACCUA